rnacentral:lncRNA from 1 species
GGUCCAGAACUUCUCAGUGUAUACCCCAGGGCUGUAUGCCUCAUUGGAGGCUGCAGACAGCUGGCACAAGAGUGGGAGGCACUUCUCUGGGGAUACAUGAGCACGUCCAAGGGCUCAGAAGGGAGAGCCUGGUGUUUGACGCUCCCUGUUGGAAACAGUUUACUGACCUUCCUUCCCCAGCUUACACGGACAAGGGCAUCUGCCUACAUCAUAAGAAUCAGACCUCCUCUUCCCCACACGAAGUCAUGAAGCAUAGGAAGGCCAUUAUCUUCCGUCUUUCUUCCCUCAAGCGCCCUCAUUACAGAGGAAUCCUGCCCCACAUCUGCAGGCUAAAGGAAGGAAGGCUGCACAGAGCUAUCUGGAGGAGUCCUGGUCUGAGCAGACAUGCCUGGCUGGGUUUCCGCUCCAUCUCUUUCCCUUAGCUCAAACUCCCAUCUGGUCACAUCUCAACACAGUGGUCUCUGCUUCACAAACUUAAGCAUAAAUGGAUUCUUUUCCCUA